UGGGGAAUAUUGGACAAUGGGCGAAAGCCUGAUCCAGCCAUGCCGCGUGAGUGAUGAAGGCCCUAGGGUUGUAAAGCUCUUUUGUGCGGGAAGAUAAUGACGGUACCGCAAGAAUAAGCCCCGGGUAACUACGUGCCAGCAGCCGCGGUAAUACGUAGGGGGCAAGCGUUGUCCGGAUUUACUGGGUGUAAAGGGCGCGCAGGCGGGAUAAAAAGUCAGUGGUGAAAUCCUACAGCUUAACUGUAGAACUGCCUUUGAUACUUUUAUUCUUGAGUUCGGGAGAGAGAGACGGAAUUCCAGGUGUAGUGGUGAAAUACGUAGAUAUCUGGAAGAACACCAGUUGCGAAGGCGGCCUCUUGGUCCGACACUGACGCUGAGGCGCGAAAGCGUGGGGAGCAAACA
rnacentral:rRNA from 1 species